CACGUAGGGGGCGAGCGUUGUCCGGAUUUAUUGGGCGUAAAGAGCUCGUAGGCGGUUUCGUUAGUCGGGUGUGAAAACCCCAGGCUCAACCUGGGGACGCCACCCGAUACUGCGAUGACUAGAGUCCGGUAGGGGAGUGUGGAAUUCCUGGUGUAGCGGUGAAAUGCGCAGAUAUCAGGAGGAACACCAACGGCGAAGGCAGCACUCUGGGCCGGAACUGACGCUGAGGAGCGAAAGCGUGGGUAGCGAACAGG
rnacentral:rRNA from 1 species